UACGUAGGGGGCAAGCGUUGUCCGGAUUUAUUGGGCGUAAAGAGCGUGUAGGCGGCCACACAGGUCUGCUGUGAAAACUCGAGGCUCAACCUCGAGCUGUCGGUGGAAACCGUGUGGCUAGAGUCCGGAAGAGGAGAGUGGAAUUCCCGGUGUAGCGGUGAAAUGCGCAGAUAUCGGGAAGAACACCCGUGGCGAAGGCGACUUUCUGGAUUGAUACUGACACUGAGGCACGAAAGCGUGGGGAGCAAACAGGG
rnacentral:rRNA from 1 species